rnacentral:tRNA from 1 species
GGAGGGAUGAUUAUUGCGAAGCGUUGACUCAAACGCGGGUGGCUGUAACCCACUUCCUCACGGUUCGGGGGUUCAGAAUCCCUCCCCCUCCACCA